rnacentral:lncRNA from 1 species
UGACAGGUCCACCCGUGGUACAACUCAGCAAAACCAUCUUCCUCAAGUCUGCAAGUACCAACAAGCUUCCAAGUGGCACAGGUGGUUUUUCUUGUCUUUGAGUCAACGUGGCAGAGACUUCAAGAGUCCAUGAGGGUGAUACAGAUUUUCCCGGGUUUUCUGACCAGUGAGGAAAGUGAUCCUAGAGAGAGAUCAGUACGAGCGCCACCUCUAGUCCCAAUGGGAACAGCAGGAGACUCUCCAAGGUAGAUUCCUAGGCCCACCCACACUCUCCCACCCUGGACACUUCUUGGACCUGCUCUGGACCUGUGGCCCUGUGGUCUCAGGUAGGUGACGUGACCCAUGUGGGUUUCCUUGUCUGCAUGAUGGUUGGGUGACGACGCAUCAUGGGUUCCACCAGCUUUUUCCCUCCCAUUGUGAAGGAGGCCACGCCAUACAGCUCCCCACCCCACCCCUGCUCUAUAGCAUCAGCAGGGCCUCACGACUCUGACUCCUUUCUCUGGCCAAGUAGAAGGCUAAGGCCCGCAGGAGUUAACUUCACACAGGUGAUCUGUCUGAGAUCAUGUUGGAGGCCUGGGAGAGCUCCACUCGGCCCAUUUCAUUACAGCCUGCUCGCGUUCACCUGAGAAAGGGGCCCGUUUUCAAAAUCAUGGCUACUUCUCUAAAUCAGCAGACAGCAGCCUGAAGAUCACCCGUAAAUGUCUGCUGCACUGAGGGCUGUUUUGGCUAAUGGAAAAAGGACACCAAGUUGAAGAUCCAUCCAGCCUUUCUGCUUUCAGUGUCCUUGGAGCCAUCAGCAGCUGUGUCCCCCACAAAGCCCUGACACUACUCUGUGUGGUACUACUGAGCCUCCUUAAUGUCCCUCCUUGCUGUGAAAUCUUAGUGCUUCAGCCUCUUCUUGAUGGGUAUCUCACCUUGCCCUUGAAGGAGAGCUUUGCUCAGAAAAUAGAGUCCUGGGAGACCCCAGAGACUGUUCCCAGCAGGAUGUCCAUCCCAUCAGCUGAGAGUCCUCAUGGUCAGUCUCAUGGACCUGUCACGGAGGCCAGCCUGCAGGGCAGGACACAGGAGCACAGGCCGAAGAGGGCUUCCUGUGACUGCUAAGGACAAGCCUUUUGCUUGGCACCUGG